rnacentral:rRNA from 1 species
UUUAAAGUCUAACCUGCCCAAUGAGGAGUUAAAUGGCCGCGGUAAUUUGACCGUGCAAAGGUAGCAUAAUCAUUAGUUUUUUAAUUGAAAGCUGGAAUGAACGGUUGGACGAGAAAAUAACUGUCUCAAUUUAAUUGUAAGUAGAAUUUUAUUUAUAAGUAAAAAAGCUUAUAUGAUUUUAAAAGACGAGAAGACCCUAUAGAGUUUUAUAUUUUAUUUUAUAAGAAAGGGUUAGAAUAUUUAUAUUUUUUAUGAAAUAAAGUAUUUUGCUGGGGCAGCAGAAAAAUUAAUUAAACUUUUUUUAUUUUUAAAACAUUAAUUUAUGAUUGGAUGAUCCAUUAAUUAUGAUUACAAGAUUAAAUUACCUUAGGGAUAACAGCGUAAUUUUUUUUUAGAGUUCUUAUCGAAAAAAGAGUUUGCGACCUCGAUGUUGGAUUAAAAUUAACUUUUGGUGUAGGGGCUAAAAGGUUAGGUCUGUUCGACCUUUAAAAUUUUACAUGAUCUGAGUUUAAACCGGCGUGAGCCAGGUUGGUUUCUAUCUUUAAAAAAAAUAGAUAUCUUAGUACGAAAGGAUUAGAUAUUUUUAAUAUUUAAUAUAUAAUGAAUAUGAUUAAUAAAA